GACGAACGCUGGCGGCGUGCUUAACACAUGCAAGUCGAACGGAAAGGCCCUCCUCGUCUGGGGUGCUCGAGUGGCGAACGGGUGAGUAACACGUGAGUAACCUGCCCUUGACUUUGGGAUAACUUCAGGAAACUGGGACUAAUACCGGAUAGGAGCGCCUGCUGCAUGGUGGGGGUUGGAAAGUUUCCGCGGUUGGGGAUGGACGCGCGGCUUAUCAGUUUGUUGGUGGGGUAGUGGCUUACCAAGGCUUUGACGGGUAGCCGGCCUGAGCGGGUGACCGGCCACAUUGGGACUGAGAGACGGCCCAGACUCCAACGGGGGGCAGCAGUGGGAAAUAUUGCACAAUGGGCGGAAGCCUGAUACAACAACGCCGCGUGCGGGAUGACGGCCUUCGGGUUGUGAACCGCUUUCGCCUAUGACGAAGGGUGAGUGACGGUAAUGGAUGAAGAAGCACCGGCUAACUACGUG
rnacentral:rRNA from 1 species